UACGAAGGGGGCUAGCGUUGCUCGGAAUCACUGGGCGUAAAGGGCGCGUAGGCGGCCAUUCAAGUCAGGGGUGAAAUCCUGGAGCUCAACUCCAGAACUGCCUUUGAUACUGAGGAUCUUGAGUUCGGGAGAGGUGAGUGGAACUGCGAGUGUAGAGGUGAAAUUCGUAGAUAUUCGCAAGAACACCAGUGGCGAAGGCGGCUCACUGGCCCGAUACUGACGCUGAGGCACGAAAGCGUGGGGAGCAAACAGG
rnacentral:rRNA from 1 species